rnacentral:rRNA from 1 species
AGAGUUUGAUCCUGGCUCAGGAUGAACGCUGGCGGCGUGCUUAACACAUGCAAGUCGAGCGAAGCACUUUGGAAAGAUUCUUCGGAUGAUUUCCUUUGUGACUGAGCGGCGGACGGGUGAGUAACGCGUGGGUAACCUGCCUCAUACAGGGGGAUAACAGUUAGAAAUGACUGCUAAUACCGCAUAAGACCACGGUACCGCAUGGUACAGUGGUAAAAACUCCGGUGGUAUGAGAUGGACCCGCGUCUGAUUAGGUAGUUGGUGGGGUAACGGCCUACCAAGCCGACGAUCAGUAGCCGACCUGAGAGGGUGACCGGCCACAUUGGGACUGAGACACGGCCCAGACUCCUACGGGAGGCAGCAGUGGGGAAUAUUGCACAAUGGAGGAAACUCUGAUGCAGCGACGCCGCGUGAAGGAUGAAGUAUUUCGGUAUGUAAACUUCUAUCAGCAGGGAAGAAAAUGACGGUACCUGACUAAGAAGCCCCGGCUAACUACGUGCCAGCAGCCGCGGUAAUACGUAGGGGGCAAGCGUUAUCCGGAUUUACUGGGUGUAAAGGGAGCGUAGACGGCACGGCAAGCCAGAUGUGAAAGCCCGGGGCUCGACCCCGGGACUGCAUUUGGAACUGCUGAGCUAGAGUGUCGGAGAGGCAAGUGGAAUUCCUAGUGUAGCGGUGAAAUGCGUAGAUAUUAGGAGGAACACCAGUGGCGAAGGCGGCCUGCUGGGCUUUAACUGACGCUGAGGCUCGAAAGCGUGGGUAGCAAACAGGAUUAGAUACCCUGGUAGUCCACGCUGUAAACGAUGAUUACUAGGUGUGGGGGAUUUCGGUCCUCCGUGCCGGAGCAAACGCAAUAAGUAAUCCACCUGGGGAGUACGGCCGCAAGGCUGAAACUCAAAGGAAUUGACGGGGGCCCGCACAAGCAGUGGAUUAUGUGGUUUAAUUCGAAGCAACGCGAAGAACCUUACCAGGUCUUGACAUCCGAUGCAUAACUCAGAGAUGAGUGAAAUCCUUUCGGGGACAUCGAGACAGGUGGUGCAUGGUUGUCGUCAGCUCGUGUCGUGAGAUGUUGGGUUAAGUCACGCAACGAGCGCAACCCCUAUUGAUAGUUGCUACGCAAGAGCACUCUAUCGAGACUGCCGUUGACAAAACGGAGGAAGGUGGGGAUGACGUCAAAUCAUCAUGCCCUUUAUGACCUGGGCUACACACGUAAUACAAUGGCGCAAAACAGAGGGAAACAAGACCGCGAGGUGGAGCAAAACCCUAAAAGGCGUCUUAGUUCAGAUUGCAGGCUGCAACUCGCCUGCAUGAAGGUGGAAUUGCUAGUAAUCGCGGAUCAGCAUGCCGCGGUGAAUACGUUCCCGGGCCUUGUACACACCGCCCGUCACACCAUGGGAGUCGGUAACACCCGAAGUCAGUAGCCUAACCGCAAGGAGGACGCUGCCGAAGGUGGGAUUGGUAACUGGGGUGAAGUCGUAACAAGGUA